rnacentral:rRNA from 1 species
GAUGAACGCUGGCGGCGUGCCUAAUACAUGCAAGUCGAGCGAACGAACGAGGAUCUUGCUUUUCUUAUGUUAGCGGCGGACGGGUGAUUAACACGUGGAUAACCUACCUAUAAGACUGGGAUAACUUCGGGAAACCGGAUCUAAUACCGGACAAUAUUUUGAACCGCAUGGUUCAACAGUGAUAGACGGUCUUGCUGUCACUUAUAGAUGGAUCCGCGCUGCAUUAGCUAGUUGGUAAGGUAACGGCUUACCAAGGCAACGAUGCAUAGCCGACCUGAGAGGGUGAUCGGCCACACUGGAACUGAGACACGGUCCAGACUCCUACGGGAGGCAGCAGUAGGGAAUCUUCCGCAAUGGGCGAAAGCCUGACGGAGCCACGCCGCGUGAGUGAUGAAGGUCUUCGGAUCGUAAAGCUCUGUUAUUAGGGAAGAACAGAAGUGUAAGUAACUGUGGCCAUCUUGACGGUACCUAAUCAGAAAGCCCCGGCUAACUACGUG